CUGGGGCUUGAGGUCGCUGUCCAUCGUUUCGGCGAUGACGGUGAUGCUCAGCUCUGCUUGCCGGUGACUGUUGCGGUGUUCUUCACUGAGCGCUGUAGCAGCACGGCACGUUUACUUUGAAAAAAUUAGAGUGCUCAAAGCGUGCUUGUCGCUUGAAUAAUGUUGCAUGGAAUAAUGGAAUAGGACCUCGGUUCUAUUUUGUUGGUUUUCGGAGCUUGAGGUAAUGAUUAAGAGGGACGAACGGGGGCAUUCGUAUUGCGGUGUUAGAGGUGAAAUUC
rnacentral:rRNA from 1 species